rnacentral:rRNA from 1 species
ACGUUAAAGACGAUGACGUUGAUAGGUCGGGUGUGUAAGCGCAGCGAUGCGUUGAGCUAACCGAUACUAAUGAACCGUGAGGCUUAACCUU